GGAGAGGUGGCUGAGUCGGUUGAAAGCGGUCGCCUGCUAAGCGACUAAGCGCCCAAAAAGGUGCUUCGAGGGUUCGAAUCCCUCCCUCUCCGCCA
rnacentral:tRNA from 1 species